AUGUGCACAUGUGUGUGCACCUGUGUGUGCAUGUGCAUGUGUGUGCAUGUAUGUGAGCGAGUGGAUGUGCAUGUGUGCGUGCAUGUAUGUGUAUGUGCAUGUGCGUGUGUGUAUGUGUAUGU
rnacentral:miRNA from 1 species